CUGUAGCUGAACUUCAGACUGUGAUGUCAGUGUGUGUGGGUGUGGUUUGCUGCAUGCAGUCUGUAUUUAAGGAGCUGUUGCUGCAGACUAACUUCACUUCCUCAGCUCAGCAGCAGACCAGCUCCUCCCUCCAGAACCAACUAUGGCCAGCAAACUUGCCCAAAAUGGUCCCUUUACUUCCUGCUCUGGUUCCUUUUCCCGCCAUCAUCAGUGUCUGCCCCGCCCCUGAUUGUUUCCACCUGUGCCCACUUACCUCAUGUAUAUAUUGUCCUGUCUCCCCUUGUUAGUUGUCGGUUCGUCUUGUUCAUUGCUCCAAGAAGUAAGAUCUAAGCCAUUGUUUAAUGAAAGUCAGUGUUUUGCCUUUUACCCUCCACGAGAGCGCUUUACGUUUGUCAGUUUGUUCAUUCCUCUAAAAGAGUGAUUUUGUUUUUUUUGCAAGUAAAGACUAUUUUUUUUCUUCAAAAA